CUUUCCGGCCGGACUGCCGCGCCUGUGGCCGGAAGAGCCAGCUAGACCAGAGAGUCUGUACCUGCAACCCUGGCGGCGUCCGAGCCCAAGGCGGAGUCUGGGAGACAAAGAAGUCCUCGCCGCCGGCCGCUGGAGGAUUCUGCCAGUAGUGAAAGAUGGGGUCUCGUUAUGUUGACCAGGCUGGUCUUGAACACCUGACCUGAAGUGAUCCUCUUGCCUCAGCCUCCCAUAGUGCUGCGAUCACAGCCUGCCGAGUGCCUGCGAUUGCAGGCACGCGCUGCCACGCCUGACUGGUUUUGGUGGAGACGGGGUUUCGCUGUGUUGGCCGGGCCGGUCUCCAGCCCCUAACCGCGAGUGAUCCGCCAGCCUCGGCCUCCCGAGGUGCCGGGAUUGCAGACGGAGUCUCGUUCACUCAGUGCUCAAUGGUGCCCAGGCUGGAGUGCAGUGGCGUGAUCUCGGCUCGCUACAACCUACACCUCCCAGCCGCCUGCCUUGGCCUCCCAAAGUGCCGAGAUUGCAGCCUCUGCCCAGCCGCCACCCCGUCUGGGAAGUGAGGAGUGUCUCUGCCUGGCCGCCCAUCGUCUGGGAUGUGAGGAGCCCCUCUGCCUGGCUGCCCAGUCUGGAAAGUGAGGAGCGUCUCCGCCCGGCCGCCAUCCCAUCUAGGAAGUGAGGAGUGCCUCUUCCCAGCCGCCAUCACAUCUAGGAAGUGAGGAGCGUCUCUGCCCGGCCGCCCAUCGUCUGAGAUGUGGGGAGCGCCUCUGCCCCGCCGCCCCAUCUGGGAUGUGAGGAGCGCCUCUGCCCGGCCGCGACCCCGUCUGGGAGGUGAGGAGCGUCUCUGCCCGGCCGCCCCGUCUGAGAAGUGAGGAGCCACCCCAUCUGGGAAGUGAGGAGCAUCUCCGCCCGGCAGCCACCCCGUCCGGGAGGGAGGUGGGGGGUCAGCCCCCCGCCCGGCCAGCCGCCCCGUCCGGGAGGGAGGUGGGGGGGUCAGCCCCCUGCCCGGCCAGCCGCCCCGUCCGGGAGGUGAGGGGCGCCUCUGCCCGGCCGCCCCUACUGGGAAGUGAGGAGCCCCUCUGCCCGGCCACCACCCCGUCUGGGAGGUGUGCCCAACAGCUCAUUGAGAACGGGCCAGGAUGACAAUGGCGGCUUUGUGGAAUAGAAAGGCGGGAAAGGUGGGGAAAAGAUUGAGAAAUCGGAUGGUUGCCGUGUCUCUGUAGAAAGAAGUAGACAUGGGAGACUUUUCAUUUUGUUCUGCACUAAGAAAAAUUCUUCUGCCUUGGGA
rnacentral:lncRNA from 1 species